rnacentral:rRNA from 1 species
UAGGGAAUCUUCGGCAAUGGACGAAAGUCUGACCGAGCAACGCCGCGUGAGUGAAGAAGGUUUUCGGAUCGUAAAACUCUGUUGUUAGAGAAGAACAAGGACGUUAGUAACUGAACGUCCCCUGACGGUAUCUAACCAGAAAGCCACGGCUAACUACCUGCCAGCAGCCGCGGUAAUACGUAGGUGGCAAGCGUUGUCCGGAUUUAUUGGGCGUAAAGCGAGCGCAGGCGGUUUCUUAAGUCUGAUGUGAAAGCCCCCGGCUCAACCGGGGAGGGUAAUUGGAAACUGGGGGACUUGAGUGCGGAAGAGGAGAGUGGAAUUCCAUGUGUAGCGGUGAAAUGCGUGGGUAUAUGGGGGAACACCGGGGGCGAAGGCGGCUCCCUGGUCUAUAACUGACGCUGAGGCUCGAAAGCGUGGGGAGCAAACAGG